CGUUGGGCUAAUUAUAGAUGUGGGUGUUCAAUAAGCUGAGGGCAUGACAGGGUCUCCUGGCACGAGAGUCUCAGAUGAAGAACCGUGCCAGGUGAGUCGGUGCCAACAGCGUACAGUAACACUGUGACUCAGGCAUAAAUUAACGUGAUGAACAGUUCGCUUUCCAUCCCCUAAUGUACAGGAGGAACGGCGACAUUUACUGACAAUAGAACUGUUGAUGCUGGGGGGUUACAGUGUGUGCAGUACAGUGUGCGCAGUACAGUGGUGCGCAGCAACGACAUGACGUGGAAGUGGACAAUGACGUAGGCCGCGUUUUUGUGUGGAAGCCACGGACGUAUGUGCAGCUCUGAACAGUACAAGUUUAAACGUUUAAUAUUCGAAUGAAGCGCGACAUUGUGAAAUGUUGUACUCUAAAAUACAAUAAUAAAACAAGAAUAAUAUAAAAUAUAUCGUUUAUAACGUUCCUAAAGAAGGAUUACGUUUGAACUUGGGUCGUGCGAUGUGAUUGGCCUGUUUGAGUUCCCUGCUCCGAGGUUGUUGAGGUUAGCAAUGCUAAGUAGCUAGCCCAACGGAGCUGUACUUUAUACGUUCGGAAUGUGGAAUAAUGGUGGACGAAGGCGGUGGCAGCGACGAUUCACAGAGGUCCUCCGUCGACGAUAAGGGGCCAGAUGUGAGGGAUUUAUGGACCAAACGUUGCCCCCCGGACCAAGAUUUUGAAACCACAGCCUUUGAAGAUUAGCGCCGGCUCGUCCCCCCUCCUCCUCGCACUCUCCACCGCUCCAGCUGUGUGUAAUCAUGCACAUGCCUGAUUGGCUGACAAGUGUAGCUGUGGCUGAUGGGAAGGCUCGUUCGUGUACAGCUGUUGGAAAGAAGCUGGACUGCAGUCAAAGGAAAGAGAAAUGCAGCUCCUGAAGUGAGGGCAGCGUCAGAACACCUGCUGGAUCACACAGCUGAAGAAAAGGGGUCAAAGGACAAAGCCAGAGACGCGGGCAUGACCGGGAGGUGGUGACGGACACGGACGCACACAUGGACUCACGGGACGAGCGGUGAAGUGGGAAGAAUUCCGUACCAGCCACAUGCAGUUGCCAUGAUAACAGCCCGUCCCACGGCCCGCGGCCCACAGUCCCAGCAGCCCAGUGCAUCUGCCAGCAGAGAUCCGGUCUCCGUCCGGAGAGUGAAGGAACACUUUCCCAGAGAUAUCAGUGACGUACAUAUCCCACCACCCUCCACUGAGCCACGACUCCCAGCAGAGCAGUUUGCUGCGCGAUAACAUCAGGAUUGUCAGUGAGAACAAAUGUCCAGCAGUGAGAGAGGGGACUGGAACCUGUGACCUUAUUGCUGAGAGACUACUCGUCUGUAUCAACAUACGAACAAAGAAAAUGAGGACGACUUCUGAGUGGGGUGAAGGUCGAAGGUCGUAGGUCAGGCUUGACAACAUCAACAGCGUUUGAGUCUUCGUUACAGGGAGAAGACUGACGUACAAUCAAGUCUGGCAAUGCUUCUUAUACACCACAGGAGGGCAGAAGAGACACCGUGAACACAGAGCGAACGCCCGGCAGCAGCGGAGCGGGCGACGCCCACCUGUGAAGACCACCCUCAUAAACCAGCCUGUCUCACACACACACUCUGUGUGUGUGUGUGUGAGAGAGAGAGCCUGGACCAAUCACAGGGCAGUGCGACACAAGCUUGGUCCUAAAC